rnacentral:rRNA from 1 species
GCGAGGAAUAUUGGUCAAUGGGCGCAAGCCUGAACCAGCCAUCCCGCGUGCAGGAAGACGGCGCUAUGCGUUGUAAACUGCUUUUCCAGGGAGAGAAACUUGCGCACGUGUUGCGCAAUUGACGGUACCCUGGGAAUAAGCAUCGGCUAACUCCGUGCCAGCAGCCGCGGUAAUACGGAGGAUGCGAGCGUUAUCCGGAUUCAUUGGGUUUAAAGGGUGCGUAGGCGGACUAUUAAGUCAGUGGUGAAAUCCUGCAGCCUAACUGCAGAACUGCCAUUGAUACUGAUAGCCUUGAGUUUGGUUAAGGUAGGCGGAAUGUGUAAUGUAGCGGUGAAAUGCUUAGAUAUUACACAGAACACCAAUUGCGUAGGCAGCUUACUGAGCCGACACUGACGCUGAGGCACGAAAGCGUGGGGAUCGAACAG